rnacentral:rRNA from 1 species
UACGUAGGUGGCAAGCGUUGUCCGGAUUUAUUGGGCGUAAAGAGCGUGUAGGCGGCCGUACAGGUCAGCUGUGAAAACUCGAGGCUCAACCUCGAGACGUCGGUUGAAACCGUACGGCUAGAGUCCGGAAGAGGAGAGUGGAAUUCCCGGUGUAGCGGUGAAAUGCGCAGAUAUCGGGAAGAACACCCGUGGCGAAGGCGGCUCUCUGGGACGGUACUGACGCUGAGACGCGAAAGCGUGGGGAGCGAACAGG